rnacentral:rRNA from 1 species
GACGUAGGGUCCAAGCGUUGUCCGGAUUUACUGGGCGUAAAGAGCGCGUAGGCGGCUCGUUAAGUGUGAAGUGAAAUCUCUAGGGCUCAACCCAGAAACUGCUUUACAUACUGGCGAGCUGGAGUGAUGCAGAGGUUUGUGGAAUUCCUGGUGUAACGGUGAAAUGUGUUGAUAUCAGGAGGAACACCCAUGGCGAAGGCAGGUCUCUGGGCCAUAACUGACGCUGAGAAGCGAAAGCAUGGGGAGCGAACAGG